GUCUAUGGCCAUACCACCCUGAAUGUGCCUGAUCUCAUCUGAUCUCAGAAGCUAAGCAGGGUUGGGCCUGGUUAGUACUGGGAUGGGAGAUAAGAGCAAAUGAUGGAGGAU
rnacentral:rRNA from 1 species